rnacentral:rRNA from 1 species
CCUACGGGUGGCAGCAGUGAGGAAUAUUGGUCAAUGGGCGCGAGCCUGAACCAGCCAAGUCGCGUGAAGGAGGACUGCCCUGCGGGUUGUAAACUUCUUUUAUAAAGGAAUAAAGUGUGGCACGUGUGCCCUUUUGUAUGUACUUUAUGAAUAAGGAUCGGCUAACUCCGUGCCAGCAGCCGCGGUAAUACGGAGGAUCCGAGCGUUAUCCGGAUUUAUUGGGUUUAAAGGGAGCGUAGGUGGGUUGUUAAGUCAGUUGUGAAAGUUUGCGGCUCAACCGCGAAAUGGCAAUUGAUACUGGCAGCCUGGAGUGCAGUUGAGGUAGGCGGAAUGCGUGGUGUAGCGGUGAAAUGCUUAGAUAUCACGAAGAACUCCGAUUGCGAAGGCAGCUUACUAAACUGCAACUGACACUGAGGCUCGAAAGUGUGGGGAUCAAACAGGAUUAGAUACCCCUGUAGUC